GGCAGGAGAGCCCCCAGGCAGAGAAGGCCAGCAGCAUCCUCGGGUGAAACAGGCCAACAGGGUCAGGCAGAGCCCGAGGCAGCUCAGAAGGUCCUGUGUGUGGCGGGAAGAGGGUGAAUCUUCCCUGGGUGACACCAGGCAUGUCCCUUUCCUUCUCUGAGCUACAGGUAAUGAAGGGGAGACGAUAAGGCCAAACCCGGAGGGAUGAACGCGCCACGUCACGGGUCCCCUGGGCACUCAGGGCAGCCAGGGGAGGUCCUUAGCCCGAAGCAGGUGUGGAAGCAGUGUCUCGGGAGGCGUUUACAGAAAUGUCACAUCUUUUUUAAAAAGUGAGGGCUUUUUCACGGACCCUGGAAAACAUCAAAGCUUUGAAGGCCUCAGCAGAUGUUCAUUUGUGGAAGGCUAGAGACCAAUACCCUAUUCAUUUUGGGCAGCUUUCUUUGCACACCGGCAAGUAAUACACUUCACUCCUUACGAAGAGCCCUGUCACUCGGACUGUCCCAAGCCAGCCCGACUUUCUCUGGGAAGUCCAAACCAAUAAAGGUGUGAAG